rnacentral:lncRNA from 1 species
GUGGGAUUCAAAUAUUUUUACUACUGGUUCUGAGGGUGUGGCUUGAUGGGCACGACUGGGGAAGGACACUGUAAAAUCCCCAUUCCCUCCCUACCCCACUAACCUGCUUUGCAUCUCCGUUCUCCCAUGCAGGGCAACCAAAGAAGGCCCACCCGAUUAGCUGGGACUCAGAAGGCAGAGAAUAAAUUGGGGCGGGACCAGUCAGAAGCGGGAUUGGCCAGUUCUCCAAACUACUCAAAAUUUCCGCUACCAGGUCUCCAGAACUGGUCAGAACCUGCUGAAUACCACCUCUGGAAUGGAGAUUUUACAGCAUCCUUCCCCUACCACGCCCACCAAGCCACACCCACAGAACCGGUAGUAAAAAAAAUUGAAUCCCACCACUGGGGUAGUCCUUGACUUAUGACCACAAUUUUUGUUAUUAAUUUGGGUCCAGUUUCUUGCGGUUCUUCUAGAAUAAAUACCAAUGCCUGUAAUUUACAAAAUGGCUGUCAUUUGUAUUUUUCUUUUUUAAUUUCCAUUCUUUUUUAUUUUUGAAUCUUGUCUAAUGUUUCUAUGUAAUACUUCUAACGCUAAUAUCAAUAGUAAAGGGGGACAGCAGGGGACAUCCUUGUCUUGUGCCUUUCCUUAUAUUAAAGUCGCGUUAAGUCUUCAGCAUCCUCUCUCUCCCAGAUGUGGCCAAAAACAGACCUCAAAACCAGCCAAAAUGCAAAUGCUUUUUGUUGGCAUCAUGUUUAAAGAACUCACUGAAUAAAUAAAUAUCAGUCCGUGCUGCUAAAAAAACACUUUGCUUUUUUCAAUUGGCAGAGCAAUUUUAUUUUGCAAAACAGCAGCUCACACUGCUCAGCUGAUGUUUCAACAUCUGCUUUUCAGGCUGCAUCCAGAGUUGCUGCGGUCCGUGGCCUGCAUGAUGGAAAGCCACAUCUGGUUGCUGAUGGACAUACGACGGUGCCCGUUAAUCUGUGCUGUUUACCUUCAGGUUUUGUCCUUGGUGCUACGAAGCUGUUCUCCAGGUUUUGUGCAGCAAGUGUGGGAGCUGUUGUACGGGGAUCUGGCCAGUCCUAAACCUGGUUUCUCUCCUAUCCAGCUUGGUUCUUCCAACUUCUGCCAGUGUGCUGUCAAUUUCCUAAGCCAAGAAGCCACAAGACAGGAAUCUCCGGAAAGAAUCCGUGAUCUAAGCUUGCUUCUGCAAAAAGGAAAUCCUGACGUGCAAGUUGCUGUUCUAACUUGGUUGUUGGACAACGAGGAAGGGAAAGGCUUGAAGUCUAACAAGGAACUGCAGUUGAUAUUCAUGGUGAGAUCUGGUUUUUAUCCCAGCAAGAUCGGAGAUGGUGAACCUCAACCACUGGUCCAUACCAAAAUGCUGAGGGGUCUUCUAAGGAAAUGUAGAGAGGAUUACUGGGUCAAACUGGGAUCUACAAAUGUCAGAU